rnacentral:rRNA from 1 species
UACAGAGGUCUCAAGCGUUGUUCGGAUUCAUUGGGCGUAAAGGGUGCGUAAGCGGCGCGGUAAGUCGGGUGUGAAAUCUUGGAGCUUAACUCCGAAACUGCAUUCGAUACUGCCGUGCUUGAGGACUGGAGAGGAGACUGGAAUUUACGGUGUAGCGGUGAAAUGCGUAGAUAUCGUAAGGAAGACCAGUGGCGAAGGCGGGUCUCUGGACAGUUCCUGACGCUGAGGCACGAAGGCCAGGGGAGCAAACGGG